rnacentral:misc_RNA from 1 species
AAAUUUCAAUGCCUUUCCUUUCUUACUUGUGGCUGAUUGUAGCAUGUUUUAUCUUAAUGUGUAAACACCAAUGUGUUUCCAAACCAUGAUUAAGUGAAGGUAUUGCUUGUUAUGUGUAUAAAAAUGUUCACGGUUUCAAUUUGCUAUAUUAGACUUUGUCCAUUAUUAAAAAAUGUUGCUUGAUUUCCUCCUCUCUAAUUGUUAAAUUUUAGUUUCUGUGUUU